UGAAAUUCUUCAGGAAUUGCUCCCAGCAAAUGUGAGAGUAAUUCAAAGUAAUUCAAAGUUACACUGGGUUGACUUCCAAAGCACCCAGCCCCGAGUGGAGACAAGGCCUUUUUGAACUAACUUUAGAAACAUAAUGAGUGUGGACCACCUUCAGGCUUGCCCGAAUCCAUCAGCCAGGCCCUGGAGUCCUGGGAUUAUGCCUUCUGGGUAAGAUAAGGCAGGAAGCCGGCUCCAACCUCCCACGGAGGCCCACUGCUUCUGGAGAGCUGAGCAGUCACCCCAAGACGUUAAACCAAUCUCCGUGGGAUGCAGGUUUGUUCCGAAGUGCAUACAACGUAGUGGCAACAACAGGCAGGUUUAACUUGUGUUCUCCAAUGAAAAGUCUCCAUCCGGCAGUCUCUGGCCAUGAUUGGACAGAGUAAUUCUGAGAGGCUCCAUGAACGGCAGCGAAAUCAGAGGAGGUGGAGACCCUGGAUGAGACACCAAGCCCCCUGAAGCUUCAGCUUGCCCCUCUAAGAAGGAAGCAGAGCAAGACCUUGCAGCCCAUUUAGGGAGAUUAGGGAUCGGCUCUCCAAGGCACAGCCGAGCUCCGUGACUGGGAGCCACUAUCGCGGAUGCUAUUGUUCUUUUUUUGUAUACAUGGCCCUCAGGCUUCAGGAGCUGAGGGACGAUCACAAGAGCUGGUUCUCCUGGGUGGCACCUGCUAGUUAGCACCUGUUGGCCUUAAAGUGAAUGUGAGUGAAAGGUCCAUUUGUGCCACAGGAAUGGGAAGUUGAGGAGUGAUCCAAAGGAUUCUAACAUCCUCUGUCAUUCUAAAAUUACCAUGCAAAAGUGGAGAUUAGGAAGACACUCCUAUCGCCAGACACUCAGGGCUGAGCCAGGCGGAGCAGCCAUGCUGGGAAAUCUCAGAAGCCGGGGUCGGAAGCCAAGGGACUUACUCGCAGGGACACCUUCUGGGCUUGAUGGAAGAACCACUACUUCGACCUCCAAACUGAGUACCUCUUGGAAUACCCAGACUGCGAAUUUUGAAUUAGGAUGAAAGAGUGACAGCUGGGACAGCUGAGGAGGAGAGUGCCAGGCGAGGCAGGGACACUGUCCAUGCAGGGGAGGUGAAAAACCAUGGGGCUGAUGAAAAUGCACAUGGAUGUCAACUCCAGGGAUGUCAAGGUCUUACCCUGGCAGCAGAAGCACGAGCGGCCGUCACAGCCUCAAGGAGGCAGGGUGGAUGGCAGGUGACCAAGCUAGGAGGAGGUGGCAGGGCAGCUUGGGACAGGGGGGGAUCCACAGAGUGUGGUGCCAGUGAUACCCCACGUGGGUGCUUGGAAAUGGGCAUGCCUGCCUUCCCCAAGGCAGGUGUGCGAGGAGCAUCUUAGCGUCAAAGCAUUUCCUAACUCUUCAACAGGACUGUGGUCUUCAUUGUAAACUUGCCUAUUAGAGAUUUGUUUUGUGUCUGUCUCAUUAGACUUUGAGUCUCUCAAGCAGAGACCAUUUCAAAGAAAGACUCCGACUUUUGCAUAGUCUAUAAAGGCAGGAAUGUAGACAAAGAUGUCAUUUUAAAAAAUCAGUGAUAAAAAUGGAAAUAAAAGGGUUUCAUGGGUAACUUCGAUUUAGCUAAAAUCAUUUUUGAAACUAGACAAAUCAUGUCUUACUUUUUCUUUCUUCAGUCUCAAUCAGCACUUUGCAACACAGGCUGAGAGAUGAUGACAUGAAAACAGCUCAGAAGAGGGGUGCCUGAGGAAGAUCAGCCACCUUGAGUUUAAGUUUAACCCAAGACAGGAACAUGGGAUUAAAGCUGGCAGAAGGGCAGGGGCCACAGCAUGUUCCAAGCCAGGAAGAAAGCUGUGGGCAGGUUUAUCCUCCACCACACGGAUCCUCCGAGCUCCAGCAGGAAUGACGGCAGCUUCGAUAUAACCUGUAGCAACAAACGACACAGAAGUAAACCACACCUCCACCCUGCACCAGAGGCCGUGCAGCAUCCCCCGGCCAAAAUCUAGCUACCAAGCCCCCCACAGUGGCUUCAGAAAUGGAGGGCUGGCGCAGAAGAAGGAGGCUCUCCUAAGGCCAGGACCUCCCAGUGGCCCCAUUUCCAGAGAGCAGGAUUUGCACGUGUUUCAGGUUGAGUGGUGUCCCCCUCCUCCAAAUUCGUAUGUUGAAGUUCUAACUGGGCCCCCCCUUCAACCAGAACAUCAGCAUGUGACCACUGCAGACAUAUUAAGAUGAGGUCAUCCUGGAGUAGGUAGGCCUAAUCCAAAAUGACUGAUGUCCUUAUAAAAAGGGGAAGUUUGGAAACAGACAUGCACAUAGGGAGAAUGUCGCGAGAACAUGAAGGCAGAGAUGAAGUGAUGCUUCUACAAAGCAGCCAAGGAACGCCACAGACUGCCAGCAAACCACCAGAAGUUAGGCAAGAAGCAUGGAACAGAUCCUCCCUCGUGACCUGCAGAAGGAACCAACCCUGCUGACACCUUGAUCUCAGAUUUCUCAACUCCAGAACCAAAAGACAGUAAGUUUCUGGUGCUUAUGCCACCUAGUUUGCGGCACUUUGUUACGGAAACCAUAGCAAAAGAAUAUAGCCUGGUAUUCUGCGAGAAUGGCACCUCCCUGGUGCAUCAGUGAAUAGUGGCCCUGGUCUCAUUCAUCUGCUGGAGGGCCUUUUGCUCUUUGUUGUAUUUUGAACUUUCCCUGAACAUCCGUGGGAUGACAGCAGAAACCAAGCAAUUUACCCUAUGACGAAACUACAGUAUUGCCUUAACACACGGUGCACCGUUUCUUGCUUCCACCACCUUUGGCCAUUUCACUUGUAUAGUUUUGUCCAUUUCCUUGCAUGUUUUUAAGCAGAGUAGGGGGCCAGGACGGCAGGUAGGAAGUGAAGACUCAGGGAAAACAUGACGGAAGCUGCCAGGGCAGAAGCUGGCAACUGGCUAAUGCCUGGUUAAUAGGGUGAUUGCCAGUAAGUGAGCCUAACAUGACGGUGAGAUUCUGAAACGUAGGCUGGUAAUAAUUUUGGUUUGAUUUUUAUUUGGGAUUUAGACAAGCGUAUUAGGCGUUUGUUUCUGCGAUUCAGAUGAGGAUCUCAACUUAGAUUACAAAUCCUAGCCCUGUUGUUCCCAAUGUGAUCACCAGAAUCAUGAGCGGAGCUGUAAAAAAUUAGAGAUUUCUAGGUUCAACUAUGUGGAAAUCAUGGAAAUACCUAUUUUGAGGGGUUUAUUUAUUCAUUCAUUUUCUCACAAUAAAAUGGAUUUAUUUUUAUAAUAAAAAUAGUAUACAAAAGUUCAAACAACAUACAGCAGAAAACCAGAAUUGACCUAUACCACAUCACAAUGAGAAAAUUACCCCAAGAAAGUAAUAUUUUGGUGACCAGCCUUUUCAACACCUCUUAAUGCAUAUAAACAUACAUAUAUCAUUUUAUGUGAAAAGAAUAUUAUAUGUACUUUUAAAAGAUCAGUGACAACUUCAAAAUAAUUAGUUUUGCUAGGUAAUGUAUGUAUAAGGUACAAAAUUCAAAAAUUAUAAAAGGAUCAAGCAAAAAGUAUAUUGAUCUAUAGGCUAUAUGAGGUGUUCUGUAGCCAGCUACAUUUUUAAACUAUAAUAAUUUCUAUAUUUUGGCUGAGUUUCUAUGUAGCUAACUCUACAUCUGCUAAUAUGACAGUUCUGUUUCUUCCUUUCUAGUCUUUAUGCCUUUAGUUUCUUCUUUCACUAUUCUGGUUGCAAUUUACAAAACCACAUUGUAUGCAAAAUGCUAUUGCGGCAUACUCGUGUAAUUCAUGAUGUCAUAGGAGUGCUUCCGAAGUUUUCCCACCGAAAAAGAUUGUUACUGUGAGAACAGGAUAGGUAUCAUUAAUCUAUCAGGUUAGGGACAUUCUCUUGUUUAAAUUUUACUUUAAGUUCUGGGAUACAUGUGCUGAAUGUGCAGGUUUGUUACAUAUGUAUACAUGUGCCAUGGUGGUUUGCUGCACCCGUCAACCCAUCACCUCGGUUUUAAGCCCUGCAUGCAUUAGGUAUUUGUCCUAAUGCUCUCCCUCCCCUUUUCCCCCACCCCUCAACAGGCUGGGGGGUGUAUGUGAUGUUCCCCUCUCUGUAUCCAUGAAUUCUCAUUGUUCAACUCCCACUUAUGAGUGAGAACAUGCGGUGUUUGGUUUUCUGUUUUUGUGUUAGUUUGCUGAAAAUGAUGGUUUCCAGCUUCAUCCAUGUGACUGCAAAGGACAUGAACUCAUUCUUUUUUAUGGCUGCAUAGUAUUCCAUGGUGUACAUGUGCCACAUUUUCUUUAUCCAGUCUAUCAUUGAUGGGCAUUUGGGUUGGUUCCAAGUCUUUGCUAUUGUAAACAGUGCUGCAAUAAACACACGUGGGGACAUUCUCUUUUUGAAUACUUAGUGUGCUAAUAGCUUUUAUCAUGAAGAGGUAUUAAAGUUAAUAAAAUGUUUUUG
rnacentral:lncRNA from 1 species